rnacentral:rRNA from 1 species
ACCCUACGGGACGCAGCAGUGAGGAAUAUUGGUCAAUGGACGAGAGUCUGAACCAGCCAAGUCGCGUGAAGGAUGACUGCCCUAUGGGUUGUAGACUUCUUUUAUAUGGGAAUAAAAUGUUCCACGUGUGGGAUUUUGUAUGUACCAUAUGAAUAAGGAUCGGCUAACUCCGUGCCAGCAGCCGCGGUAAUACGGAGGAUCCGAGCGUUAUCCGGAUUUAUUGGGUUUAAAGGGUGCGUAGGCGGUCCGUUAAGUCAGCGGUAAAAUUGCGGGGCUCAACCCCGUCGAGCCGUUGAAACUGGCAG